rnacentral:rRNA from 1 species
AUGCAUGGACAUGACCCUGUUUGUCCCGCCGACAAGCUUCCCGCCGAUGAACACCACCGGAACAGACGGGCCUUUCCCGAGCAUCUUGAGGAGAGCUCUCUCCAUCUCCUUUCCCUUGGGGUCUUGGUCGAGCUCGUGCACCAGUGCAUUGACACCCAGGUCGCAGAAGAGCCGCGCCACGGUGUGGCACAUGCAGCAGGAGCUCAGGCUGAAGAUCACCACCGCUCUCUCCGACUUUGA